GGGGCUGAUUCUGGAUUCGACGGGACUUGCGAAACCCAAGGUGCAUGCCGAGGGGCGGUUGGCCUCGUAAAAAGCCGCAAAAAAUAGUCGCAAACGACGAAAACUACGCUUUAGCAGCUUAAUAACCUGCUUAGAGCCCUCUCUCCCUAGCCUCCGCUCUUAGGACGGGGAUCAAGAGAGGUCAAACCCAAAAGAGAUCGCGUGGAAGCCCUGCCUGGGGUUGAAGCGUUAAAACUUAAUCAGGCUAGUUUGUUAGUGGCGUGUCCGUCCGCAGCUGGCAAGCGAAUGUAAAGACUGACUAAGCAUGUAGUACCGAGGAUGUAGGAAUUUCGGACGCGGGUUCAACUCCCGCCAGCUCCACCA
rnacentral:tmRNA from 1 species